CCCUUAGAUGUCCGGGGCUGCACGCGCGCUACACUGAAGGAAUCAGCGUGCUAAAACCAUUGUCGAAAGGCAUUGGUAAACCCAUUAAAAUCCUACGUGAUUGGGAUCGGGAAUUGCAAUUAUUUCCCUUGAACGAGGAAUUCCCAGUAAGUGUGGGUCAUAAGCUCGCGUUGAUUACGUCCCUGCCCUUUGUACACACCGCCCGUCGCUGCCCGGGACUGAGCCGUUUCGAGAAAAGCGGGGACUGCUGCUGUCGGGGCUUUCGGGCCUUGGCUUCGGUGGAAACCGCUUUAAUCGCAGCGGCUUGAACCGGGCAAAANUCGUANCA
rnacentral:rRNA from 1 species